UACGUAGGCAGCGAGCGUUGUUCGGAAUUACUGGGCGUAAAGAGUGUGUAGGCGGUGCUCUAAGUCUGUUGUGAAAUCUCCCGGCUUAACCGGGAGGGUGCGGCGGAAACUGGAGUGCUUGAGGGUGGGAGAGGUAAGCGGAAUUCCUGGUGUAGCGGUGAAAUGCGUAGAUAUCAGGAGGAACACCUGUGGUGUAGACAGCUUACUGGACCACUUCUGACGCUGAGACACGAAAGCGUGGUAGCAAACAGG
rnacentral:rRNA from 1 species